GACGAACGCUGGCGGCGUGCUUAACACAUGCAAGUCGAGCGGUAAGGCCCUUUCGGGGGUACACGGGCGGCGAACGGGUGAGUAACACGUGGGUGACCUGCCCUCAGCUCUGGGAUAAGCCUGGGAAACCGGGUCUAAUACUGGAUAUGACUCCAUGACGCAUGUUGUGGGGUGGAAAGCCUUGUGCGGCUGAGGAUGGGCCCGCGGCCUAUCAGCUUGUUGGUGGGGUGANGGCCUACCAAGGCGACGACGGGUAGCCGGCCUGAGAGGGCGACCGGCCACACUGGGACUGAGACACGGCCCAGACUCCUACGGGAGGCAGCAGUGGGGAGUCUUGCGCAAUGGGCGAAAGCCUGACGCAGCGACGCCGCGUGAGGGAUGACGGCCUGG
rnacentral:rRNA from 1 species